rnacentral:tRNA from 1 species
GGGCGGUUAGCUCAGUUGGCUAGAGCGCCAGCUCGACACGCUGGAGGUCAUAGGUUCAAGUCCUGUACCGCCCA